rnacentral:rRNA from 1 species
GAUGAACGCUGGCGGCGUGCCUAAUACAUGCAAGUCGAGCGAACAGACGAGGAGCUUGCUCCUCUGACGUUAGCGGCGGACGGGUGAGUAACACGUGGAUAACCUACCUAUAAGACUGGGAUAACUUCGGGAAACCGGAGCUAAUACCGGAUAAUAUAUUGAACCGCAUGGUUCAAUAGUGAAAGACGGUUUUGCUGUCACUUAUAGAUGGAUCCGCGCCGCAUUAGCUAGUUGGUAAGGUAACGGCUUACCAAGGCGACGAUGCGUAGCCGACCUGAGAGGGUGAUCGGCCACACUAGAACUGAGACACGGUCCAGACUCCUACGGGAGGCAGCAGAAGGGAAUCUGCCGCAAUGGGCGAAAGCCUGACGGAGCAACGCCGCGUGAGUGAUGAAGGUCUUCGGAUCGUAAAACUCUGUUAUUAGGGAAGAACAAAUGUGUAAGUAACUAUGCACGUCUUGACGGUACCUAAUCAGAAAGCCACGGCUAACUACGUG